rnacentral:pre_miRNA from 1 species
UUCGUUCCAAUAUGCUGCCUUUGCCUGCAUUUGCACCUGCACUUUACUUGGUUUUCUCUGUUCAACUACUAAGACGUACUACCACAAAAGCAUGUCAAUGGAGAAGGAAUAAAAAGAUUACGUAGUAUGUGUGUGAAUUAAUGGACGAGAAACCAAGCACGAGGUGCAGGUGCAUCUGCAGGUGAAUGACAUCUUGGCUUAUAUAUA